rnacentral:rRNA from 1 species
UACGUAGGGGGCGAGCGUUGUCCGGAUUUAUUGGGCGUAAAGCGCGGGCAGGCGGCCCGGUAAGUCGGCCGUGAAAGCGCCGGGCUCAACUCGGCGAGGACGGGCGAGACUGCAGGGCUGGAGCAAGGCAGAGGGCGGUGGAAUUCCGGGUGUAGUGGUGGAAUGCGUAGAGCUCCGGAGGAACACCAGUGGCGAAGGCGGCCGCCUGGGCCUUUGCUGACGCUGAGCCGCGAAAGCGUGGGGAGCGAGCCAG